CCUACGGGGGGCAGCAGUGAGGAAUAUUGGUCAAUGGGCGCGAGCCUGAACCAGCCAAGUAGCGUGAAGGAUGAAUGCCCUACGGGUUGUAAACUUCUUUUAUCAAGGAAUAAAGUGAGGCACUUGUGCCCUUUUGUAUGUACUUUAUGAAAAAGGAUCGGCUAACUCCGUGCCAGCAGCCGCGGUAAUACGGAGGAUACGAGCGUUUUCCGGAUUUAUUGGGUUUAAAGGGAGCGUAGAUGGGUUGUUAAGUCAGUUGUGAAAGGUUGGGGCUCAACCCUAAAAUUGCAGUUGAUACUGGCAGUCUUGAGUAGAGUUGAGGUAGGCGGAAUGCGUGGUGUAGCGGGGAAAUGCUUAGAUAUCACGAAGAACUCCGAUUGCGAAGGCAGCUUACUAAACUGCCACUGACAUUGAUGCUCGAAAGUGUGGGUAUCAAACAGGAUUAGAUACCCGAGUAGUC
rnacentral:rRNA from 1 species